AGGUGUCUAGACACUUGUAGGAUAGGAUUUGUUUUUGAAAAAAAAAAAGUAAAAGGAAAAUAAGGAAUGGGCGGCUGAAGGAUAGAGGGGAGGCAAGGAAAAAGGGGGAGCCGAAGGGAGGAAAUAGAGGAAAGAGGCUAAGGAGGGGGCUAGUAAGGGUUGACGGAAAAAGAAAAAUUCUGGGGAGGGACGGCUGAAAGAUAUGGUGAACGGCUGAGAGGAAGGAACGGAUAAAGAAAAGAAACUGAGAGCAAUAGUAGAGGCUGAAAGAGAGGUGGACAGCUAAAAAACUUUAGGCAAAAAUCUAAGUAGUGGUUGCGGAAUCAGGAGGAGAGAAUUUGUUGGGGGAAAUCUGUUGGCAGCUAAGGGAAGGAAAGAAACAAGAAGGCUACGGGGUUUCUUAGGGAGGAGAUGGUCUGACGACUAAAAAAAAUCUGAGGGAGAAGGAAAGAAAAGCUGGGCAAAGGUGACGGCUGAAGGUGAGAUAGAGUGAGAGAGAGAGAGGUUCUAGAAGGGCUGAGUGAAAGUAGGAAACCAACGGGAACAAGUAAGAACAAAGAGAGAAGGAGAGAGAUUUUUUUUUUUCCAGAAAAACCUGCAAAACAGGCUGAUUAUCCGGCCAAUUUGGGAGUGAAUUUCUUGUUAGUUUCAAGCUGGUUUGGGGAUUCCUUUUGUUUCUGUACUUUUUCUGGUUGUAGAAGAGCAAGUCUCCUUCAGGAAAUCUGUCGUAAAAACGCCAUUAAAGCCUUCAUAUUCGAGGCUGAAAUCCCAGGCUCGCGUUUCGUCAUCAAAGUCUGCAGUUGGUUUCUUUUGAUUUCUGGGGAGUACGAUCACUUCCUUGCGGGUUCCUGCUAAGGAUUCAAGUGUAGAGGAAGUGAAACAAGUAAUAUUCAACCUUUUUGCUCGUCGUUUUAAUCUCAGACGGAACCAAAUCCGCUAAGCUGAAAUCUGGUCCUUUGGUUCAUUUGCUGGGUCUCUGCUAAACCAAUAUGCAUCAACCUCGCGUCUGAUUGGGUUGAAACUAGAUGCUCAUGGUUGCUGUUUUCUUGCCGUUUCUCCCUUGUUUGGUAGCUUUGUUGAGUUUUGCCGGCUCAUGUUGCUGUUUUCUUGCCGUUUUCUUGUUGUUUUCUUGUCGUUCAUUUUGCUGCAACUUUGGUAGCUUAGUUGAGUUUCUUUUGGUCACUCUGUUGAUGGUUAGUUCUUGUUAAAAUGGCAUGCUUAGUUUUCUUUCUUGCCCUAUGAUUGAAUGUGCAAUAGAUCUGAGUAGCUGAAAGUUAUGUAAAUGGCGGCUGCCAAUUUGCAGAAAGAAACCCAGCAAGUGAGGAAGAAAACUAUCGAGCCUCAUGUAUGAAAAUUCCAGAAAUUACAUUUUAACCUCCCAAGUCCAGUUUUGCUCUUCUAUGGCCCAAAAAUUGGGGAAUUUGAUCGAUUGGGUCCCAUAAAAAAUGUUAUUUUCGAUUGACAUGUUUUGUUUGUGGUUCUUGGGCAGAUUUUUAUUGGAUCUUAAGAUAAAUUUUGGAGUUUAAUAGUUUUUUGAGAAAUUUGAUAGAAUUAUAAUCUUGACUUGAAUUUUAGUAGAUUUUUGAGUGAUUUUGUUGUCUAAUUAUAGCAAAUAGGGUUUUCUUUUAUUUUCUGUGAAUUUUAUCAUUUUGGUUUGGUAUAUUUCCCCUUAAGCCUUUAAUUUUACUUUAUUACAUUUUAGCCCCCUAAUAUUACUAAUAAUGAUGGUUUGCCCCCUAAAACUUCUUUAAUCUUUUAAAUGGGUCCUUAAUUGAUGAAUAGGAGUUGUUCAAUUCAUUUGAAUGCUUUGAUUGAUUCAAUUUCAUGUUUAUUUCCAUUUUACAUGUGAUUAUUUGUUAAUUAAAGUGAUGUCUUGACCUUUUUAUUAUUUUGGAGGGUAAAUAAGUAAUUUCACUCCAUUAGGGUUCCAACUCCAAGAGAGGUACAUUCUAUCCCUAUUUUUUUACCUUAUUUGACCCUAUGUGCAUCUACGUGGCUUAUGUGUGUAAUUGCAUGACUUUGAGUGUUUAUUUCAUUUUCAUUUUAUUCAUUUCUUUUGUUAUUUAAUUUUACCUUAAUCUUAGUUCAAUUUUGAUUAUUUGGGGGCAUUUAAAUGCCGUUUUUGUAAUAGAUAGGGUUCCAUCAUAUGCUCAAGACAUGUUUUAGCUAGGAAAUGUAAUCCAAGGCAUUUUGAUUCGUGGCGAAGUUCUGUAUUCUAGAUAGUGACUGUAAUAGUUAGGAAUCUACUUUUCCAAGCUUUCCUCCCUUCUAGAUGGUUUAGGCCUCCUCAAUGUAAUAGAUAGGGUUUAUGUGCUAUGUGCUUGUGCAUGCCUAUAUGCUAUGUGUGACGCCCCCGCUUCUCUUUAA
rnacentral:lncRNA from 1 species